rnacentral:misc_RNA from 1 species
CAACCCUCAAGCCCCCGCUUGGUGUUGGGUGCCGGCGCCGGCGCCUGCGAGUCUUCUCGCAGCAGCGCCCGCCGCCCCCGAAAUUGAUUGGCGGUCUCGUCGCGACCUCCCUUGCGUAGUAACAUACCACCUCGCAUGGCGGAGCGCGGCGCGGCCACACCGUAAAACAACCCAAUUUCUCAG